GACGCGUCAUUUGGGCGCACAGAGUGCAGCAGCACAAAUCCAAUGUUUCCUCCUCUUCCUCAACACAGCCUGCAUGCUAAUAGAGCAGCUCAGAGUGGGAUGAGAAAGCCAGCUUGACUCUGCAAGGUGCUCUGAUUUCCUCCAAAUCAAAUCAGCGAGCCGUCAUCAGCGGGACAUUUCCUCAGAUCUCUGCAUAAAGGCUCAUACAGGUGACAAACGGUCCAAACUGGAAUCAGUGCGUUUUAUCCAUGGGGGGUGGGGGCUGGUGACCCUCAUUGCUACUCUUUCUAAAAUUAUUUUAUUUUUGUUUUCAAUUUCGUGUUGACGCGACGUUCCACUGCGCCGAUUUGCACAUGCGGACACGCAUGACGCAGCUGCGCCCCUUUGGCCGCGUUUUAAUCACAAUCUAUAAUACGGAUAUCAGAUUUUUUUUUUUUUGAGGGGGUCAGAGAUGGCGCACCGGAGUGUCCCGUUUUCUGACAAGUUUCCGCUGCUGUUUGGUAUGUCCGUCAUGUCCGCCCCUUCAUGAGCGCCUCUCCGCGUAGAACCAGGCGCAGGUUCCGAAGUUGGCCGGGAAUAACAAUAAGAGGACUGCGCAUCGCUGAGGACGAAGAGCAGAAGUGACAGCGGCUGAAUUCCCUACCAGCAUCAUCAGCAUCUCUGCGAGGAAUAAAAACUGUGCGGGGGGCUCUGCUGCUGCCCACUCCCUCUUCAUCCACACACUUUUUUUUUUUUUUUUUUUGGGUAAGAUUUUCUGCAGUGAAUCCAAGCGUCUGAAAGCAAAGCUGCGUAAAACUUGGCCAGAUCUGGUAACAUUGCCGCCUUUGUGCGCAGUCCGGAUGGAUAUGCGCCUCAUGGAGGGAAUUUAAUCAUAAGAUAAAAAGCAAGGGGGGGGGGAUUAUUAUUAUUAGACCCUCUUUUAUUUUACCUUCAAAAUGGAUGCCUACCAAAGGGUUUGGGGACGCCACUGGAUAAGCCACUAUUCCGCUAUCUGAGAGGCACCUGCGUUUAAAGUUUGGAUCAAUCUGUCUGUGUAGGAUGCAGUCUGGAGCCAAGACGCUCUCCGCAGGUGGAGGGGCGUCACUCUGCUGCCUGCUUCUCCUCUGGCUCAUUUACUCACAUCUGCUUAGAGAAGGCCAGUUGGCGGUGGGGACCUGCGAGAUAGUGAUGCUCAACAGAGACAGCAGUGUUCCUAGACGGACAAUCGCCAGGCAGACCGCCCGCUGCGCCUGCCGGAGAGGCCAGAUUGCCGGCACCACCAGGGCGAGGCCGGCGUGUGUAGACGCGCGAAUUGUGCGGAGCCGUCAGUGGUGUGAGAUGGCUCCCUGCAUGGAGGGGGAGGUCUGCAGCCUCCUGUCCAACAGAUCCGGCUGGACCUGCACCAGGGGCAGUGGUCGCAUCAAGACCGUCACGAACAUAUGAACUACGUCAGCAGAAGACCAAAGUGGGAACUAUUUCUCCUUUACCCAAGGAGCCAUCGUAGGUGGAAGAGGAAAAACAGCAGGGUCACCAACAGCUCUCUAUUUACACAAGCAAAGCGGUGGCCAGUCACUACAUCUGUAUCCAUUGACCAACGGACCUCGGUAACAUUUCCACGAGGACUGACCAUCCAGGACAAAAAAAAAAAAAAAAGCUUCGACAGUCUCUACAGCAAAACUUGAGAGAACUCAGAGGAGCAAUACACCAUUAGCAUUGAACUUUCACCCUCAGCAAGAUCACAAAGUCAUCAUUGGAAAGUGAAAACAAGAAGAAAAAAAAACACGAGCCUUCAUGUCAUCCACAACCUGAUUUC